rnacentral:rRNA from 1 species
UACGUAGGUGGCAAGCGUUGUCCGGAAUUAUUGGGCGUAAAGCGCGCGCAGGCGGUCCUUUAAGUCUGAUGUGAAAGCCCACGGCUCAACCGUGGAGGGUCAUUGGAAACUGGGGGACUUGAGUACAGAAGAGAAGAGUGGAAUUCCACGUGUGGCGGUGAAAUGCGUAGAGAUGUGGAGGAACACCAGUGGCGAAGGCGACUCUUUGGUCUGUAACUGACGCUGAGGCGCGAAAGCGUGGGGAGCAAACAGG